rnacentral:rRNA from 1 species
AGUUUCUGACCUAUCAGCUUUCGACGGUAGGGUAUUGGCCUACCGUGGCAGUGACGGGUAACGGGGAAUUAGGGUUCGAUUCCGGAGAGGGAGCCUGAGAAACGGCUACCACAUCUAAGGAAGGCAGCAGGCGCGCAAAUUACCCAAUGAAAACAGUUUCGAGGUAGUGACGAGAAAUAACAAUACAGGGCAUUUUAUGCUCUGUAAUUGGAAUGAUGGGAAUGUAAAACCCUUUCAGAGUAACAAUUGGAGGGCAAGUCUGGUGCCAGCAGCCGCGGUAAUUCCAGCUCCAAUAGUGUAUAUUAGAGUUGUUGCAGUUAAAAAGCUCGUAGUUGGAUUUCUGUCGUGGUCAUCCGGUACCGCCCGUAUGGGUGCGCACCUGGUAUGCCCUCGGCUUUCUUCCGGUAGCCUUCCGCGCUUCACUGCGUGCGA